UCUGGUGGUAAUUGCGAGGGUCCCAGAACCCGAUCCCAUCCCGAACUCGACCGUUAAAACCCUUUGCGCCGAUGGUACUAAGUCUCAAGACUUGGGAGAGUAGGUCGCUGCCAGGU
rfam:Tolypothrix campylonemoides VB511288 scaffold_109, whole genome shotgun sequence.